rnacentral:rRNA from 1 species
GACGAACGCUGGCGGCGUGCUUAACACAUGCAAGUCGAACGGAAAGGCCCUGCUUUUGUGGGGUGCUCGAGUGGCGAACGGGUGAGUAACACGUGAGUAACCUGCCCUUGACUUUGGGAUAACUUCAGGAAACUGGGGCUAAUACCGGAUAGGAGCUCCUGCUGCAUGGUGGGGGUUGGAAAGUUUCGGCGGUUGGGGAUGGACUCGCGGCUUAUCAGCUUGUUGGUGGGGUAGUGGCUUACGAAGGCUUUGACGGGUAGCCGGCCUGAGAGGGUGACCGGCCACAUGGGGACUGAGGUACGGCCCAGACUCCUACGGGAGGCAGCAGUGGGGAAUAUUGCACAAUGGGCGGAAGCCUGAUGCAGCAACGCCGCGUGCGGGAUGACGGCCUUCGAGUUGUAAACCGCUUUCGCCUGUGACGAAGCGUGAGUGACGGUAAUGGGUAAAGAAGCACCGGCUAACUACGUG